GACGAACGCUGGCGGCGUGCUUAACACAUGCAAGUCGAACGAAGUGGCGAACGUGUGAAUAACGCGUAAACAACCUGCCCUUCAGAGGGAGACAAAAGUUGGAAACGACUGCUAAUACCGAAUACUUAAGGAGGGGCUUGCUUCAGAUGAGCAAGUUGUCGGGGUAACGGCCCACAAAGGCGAUGAUCAGGAGCGGGUCUGAGAGUGUGAUCGGCCACAUUGGGACUGAGACACGGCCCAGACUCCUACGGGAGGCAGCAGUGGGGAAUAUUGCACAAUGGGCGCAAGCCUGAUGCAGCCAUGCCGCGUGUAUGAAGAAGGCCCUAGGGUUGUAAAGUACUUUCAGUCGGGAGCGUUACCGACAGAAGAAGCACCGGCUAACUCCGUGCCAGCAGCCGCGGUAAUAC
rnacentral:rRNA from 1 species